rnacentral:tRNA from 1 species
GCAGUCGUAGCUCAGCUGGUUAGAGCGUCGGCUUGUGGCGCCGAAGGCCGGUGGUUCGAACCCACCCGACUGUACCA